rnacentral:rRNA from 1 species
AUUGAACGCUGGCGGCAGGCCUAACACACGCAAGUCGAGCGGAUGAAGGGAGCUUGCUCCUGGAUUCAGCGGCGGACGGGUGAGUAAUGCCUAGGAAUCUGCCUGGUAGUGGGGGAUAACGUCCGGAAACGGGCGCUAAUACCGCAUACGUCCUGAGGGAGAAAGUGGGGGAUCUUAGGACCUCACGCUAUCAGAUGAGCCUAGGUCGGAUUAGCUAGUUGGUGGGGUAAAGGCCUACCAAGGCGACGAUCCGUAACUGGUCUGAGAGGAUGAUCAGUCACACUGGAACUGAGACACGGUCCAGACUCCUACGGGAGGCAGCAGUGGGGAAUAUUGGACGAUGGGCGAAAGCCUGAUCCAGCCAUGCCGCGUGUGUGAAGAAGGUCUUCGGAUUGUAAAGCACUUUAAGUUGGGAGGAAGGGCAGUAAGUUAAUACCUUGCUGUUUUGACGUUACCAACAGAAUAAGCACCGGCUAACUUCGUG